UUCAAACAGAAACCCAAUGGUACUUUAUUUGAAAUUUGAAAUGCAUGCUCGCCAUAUUAAGAGAAAUAGAUGGAGUACAACGAACCUUUUGUCGUUUGAUACUCUAAUUGACAAAUCAUGCAAGAGACGGGAUGCUCAAUCAGGCUUCACACUGACUUUCUUUAUCAACAACGUACUUGUUACUGAAUGAAUGCAUCAGUUAACCAGUUGCUCCAUGUAUGUGUGUUGACCGCAGCAGCAGUAGUACUUCCCUUCAUCCACCUUACAUUUGGGCACUGGACAUUUGUAGCCCAAGUAGUAGAAAAUUCCCUCACAAUCUUUGUCUGUGCAGGACUUCAUCCUGACGCAAUGCUCUUUCAGUAUCUUGAUCUCUUCCGAAGGGAAGCUGCCUGCAGCCGCCACCCCUACAAUGGCCAUCAGCAGCGUUGCGGCGGCUAUGAAGACGAGAGUCCUUUUGAAGCACACUGUGUUCAGCGCCAUGAUUGAUGAGGCUAAUAUGUUUUUGCCUUUCGGUGCUCAC
rnacentral:lncRNA from 1 species